UACGGGGGGGCAAGCGUUGUUCGGAAUUACUGGGCGUAAAGGGCUCGUAGGCGGCCAACUAAGUCAUACGUGAAAUCCCUCGGCUUAACCGGGGAACUGCGUCUGAUACUGGAUGGCUUGAGUUCGGGAGAGGGAUGCGGAAUUCCAGGUGUAGCGGUGAAAUGCGUAGAUAUCUGGAGGAACACCGGUGGCGAAGGCGGCAUCCUGGACCGGCAUUGACGCUGAGGCGCGAAAGCC
rnacentral:rRNA from 1 species